rnacentral:rRNA from 1 species
UACAGAGGGUGCGAGCGUUGUCCGGAAUCACUGGGCGUAAAGGGCGCGUAGGUGGCGGCAUAAGGCCGUGGUGAAAGUCUGGGGCUCAACCCCAGAUCGGCCGCGGCGACUGUGUUGCUAGGGCACCGUAGAGGCAGAUGGAAUUCCGGGUGUAGCGGUGGAAUGCGUAGAGAUCCGGAAGAACACCAGUGGCGAAGGCGGCUCUCUGGGACGGUACUGACGCUGAGACGCGAAAGCGUGGGAGCGAACAGG